rnacentral:rRNA from 1 species
ACGAAACUUGCCCCGAGAUGAGUUCUCCCUGAGACUACAAGUCUCCUGAAGGAACGUUGAAGACGACGACGUUGAUAGGCCGGGUGUGUAAGCGCAGCGAUGCGUUGAGCUAACCGGUACUAAUGAACCGUGAGGCUUAACCUUACAACGCCGAAG